UGUUGGAUAGCUCAGUUGGUUAGAGUGUGGUGCUGGUAAUGCCAAGGUUGCAGGUUCGAUCCCCGUAUGAGAUAG